GAUUCAUUUGUUUGGAAUGUGAGUCACGCAGAACAGGAGCUAAAAUCUGAUUAUAACAAUGGAAAAACCAACACAUGGCUACUCGGUGAUUCUGGUUACCCCUUGCAGCCAUACUUGAUGACGCCAUUCAGAAGCGCAGCC